rnacentral:rRNA from 1 species
ACGGAAUAUAGGGGUGAGGGUUAAAGCCGGACCCUCAUUUUUCUUCUGAGCGAAGAAGGCCUUCGGGUCGAAAGGCUUUUUUCCUCAGGAAGAGGAAGGACGGUACCUGGGGAACCAUUGCGGCUAUUUCUUGGCCGUGCCUUCCGGUAGAAUCA